rnacentral:rRNA from 1 species
UCAGGUGCGGAUCCGUAGCGAAAGCGAGUCUGAAUAGGGCGCUAUAGUUAGUAGUGGUAGACGCGAAACCGUGUGAUCUACCCAUGGGCAGGUUGAAGCUGUGGUAACACACAGUGGAGGACCGAACCGGUUGACGUUGAAAAGUCUUCGGAUGACCUGUGGGUAGGGGUGAAAGGCCAAUCAAACUCGGAAAUAGCUCGUACUCCCCGAAAUGCAUUUAGGUGCAGCGUAGUAAUAGUUUUAUAGAGGUAGAGCUACUGAUUGGAUGCGGGGGCU